rnacentral:rRNA from 1 species
GACGAACGCUGGCGGCGUGCUUAACACAUGCAAGUCGAACGGAAAGGCCUGCUUUCCCUUGUGGAUUGCGGGUACUCGAGUGGCGAACGGGUGAGUAACACGUGAGUGAUCUGCCCCCAACUUGGGUAUAAGCCUGGGAAACUGGGUCUAAUUCCCGAUAGGACUGCAGGGUGGUGCCUGUGGUGGAAAACGAUUUUCUAGUGGUUGGGGAUGAGCUCGCGGCCUAUCAGCUUGUUGGUGGGGUAAUGGCCUACCAAGGCGGCGACGGGUAGCCGGCCUGAGAGGGUGGACGGCCACAUUGGGACUAAGAUACGGCCCAGACUCCUACGGGAGGCAGCAGUGGGGAAUAUUACACAAUGGGCGGAAGCCUGAUGCAGCGACGCCGCGUGGGGGAUGACGGCCUUCGGGUUGUAAACUCCUUUCGACCGCGAGGAAGCCACCUGGUUGGAAGGGUGGUGACGGUAGUGGUAGAAGAAGCACCGGCUAACUACGUG